GUCGGCUUUUGGGGGGGAAGGGAUAGCAGAGAGAGGCGGUGAAGAGCUGCUGAUUGUGGAUCUCGGGGCCCGAAUAAGAUUUGCUCGCUGGCCACUUGGCAUCUGUGAUUCAAAGGGAGCGAGGUUACCGUUCUCUUGGCACUAUCGCGCUUCCACCAUUCGCCGCCAGUCCCCGAUCCCUUCUCUCCUGUCCACCGCAUCUGGUUCGGGACAAAGGAGCAUCCGGAAUGUCCCGCUGCCCGUCCUGCCCUAUACAGGUAUAUAAAGUGUGUCGGAAAAAGAAUGAGAUUCUGCUGAAGGACGAUGACAAUCUAAGGAUAAUGUGAAGAAAUAGAAACUGAAAGACCUUGCAAACACAACUCAGUCAAAAGUUGCAAGACGUCCAAACAAGAAUCCGUUUCUGGCAGUGUGGAUGAUGAUUUGAAGAUGAGGUUCCUUCGAAGGAGAAAGUGAGGACUGCAGAUGCUGGAGAUCAGAGCUGAAAAUGUGUAGCUGGAAAAGCGCAGCAGGUCAGACAGCAUCCAAGGAACAGGAGAGUUGACGUUUCGGGCAUGAGCCCUUCUUCAGGACAUUCCUGAUAGUGGCUAUGGACCAUGUGCAAGCAGUUUGGAAUGGCACCAUGGCCAGCACAUCUAUGGCAGGCUGGAGUCUGUUCCUGCACUGUGCAGUUCUAUCUUCGAUGUUGAUUCCUCGAUCAAUGAAACAUCAUAAUUUUUUGAUGGUUUUUCCAAGUUGUACAAACACCUUCAAGGAUUUACCAUCCAUGUAAACAACAGAGAUGCCAGCAUUGAUCCAUGUGGAACCCCAGUGAUCACAGACUGCCAGUCAGAAAUUUGAGUACAACAUUUGUGAAUUUAUUGUAAACCCUCUGAAAGCUCUAGUUAUGCCAGAUCAAGGGCAGUGUUUUCAAUUUUGUCAGCACAGCGUAAGAGUUUAAAUUAGGUUUAUAGGUGAUUUUAUUAGAAUGGUUCGAGAUAUAGGAAAUUGGAAGGUUAGAUUGAAGAAGUUGACAUUGGAACAAAGGAGAUUGGGUGUUGAGAUAUUGUGCAAGGUUAUGAGAGUUUUAGAUUAGAUAAAUAUUAAAAAGCUGUUCCUAUUACUUAAUUGUGCCAGGAUUAGAGGAGAGAACUGCAGGAUAUUAGGUAAGGAAUAAGGAGGAAAAUCUGAAGAAGAAAAUACUGAAAAAAACUGGAGUUGCAUGAAGGAAGCCCGAAACCAACAUUUGCCCAUUGAGACAGGUUUGAGUCAGCAGGGUCUCUUGUUACCAGGCCAGGGUCAUAAAAAUGGCAGCCCCCUCAUAUGAUGGGAGAAGGAGCAGUCUGGGUUUCAAUGCACGAGUGACCACUGACUCGUUGACUUUAUUGUCACUUUGCAACUGGGGUUGGACAGUUGAACUCAGCAAGAAGAGGGCGAAGACAGGGAGGAGAUAAAUUUUGGGGAAGUGUAACAGAUUGAAAUCUCUCCAAAAGGACAAAAGAAAAUGUUUGGGAUGAGUACUUACAGUUUUGAGGAAACAAUAGGGGAAAGAAUGUUCCAUAGAAACUAUACAUGCCUGUUCUGAAACUCUGUUUUGUACCUUGAGCCGUGAUUAUUUUUAACCUCUUUUCACAGGGACAUUAGAAGAAAGGUUGAGAUCAGAAAACUCAAAACACAAUGUCAUAUCCAGAUUUGACAGUAUUGCCUUACGACAAACAGAUCCUGGUUAUUCUCGGCAUUUGAAUGUGAAAGAAGAUACGUUUGCUCCAUUUGCCUGUUAAAACAUUUCAAGCAUCAAUGUGACUGCGAGAACACCAAGACCCAGACACCUGACUGAAAAUGUUCCAAUGCAUUGACUGUGAAAAGAACUUCAACUAGUUAUCAUUCCUGAAUAAAAAUUUGAACCUUUUCAGCAGGAGCAAAUGUACAUUUGCACUUUGUGUGGACAAAACUUCAACUUAUCAUCCAACCUAGAGAGUCACAGAGCUACCCAGAUCAUGGAAAGACCAUGGAAAUGUGGGGAGUGUGGGAGGGGAUUCAACUACCCAUCUCAGUUAGAGAUACAUCUACGUAGUCACACUGGGGAGAGACUGUUCAUCUGCUCGCAAUGUGGGAUGUGUUUUAGAGAAUCAUCUAACCUGCUGAAACACCAGCAGCUUCACAUGGGCAAGAGGCCAUUCACCUGCUCCAUGUGUGAGAAAGGACUCGCUCAAUCCUCUCACCUGUUGACACACCAACAAGUUCACACUGGGAGAAGCCAUACAGUUGCUCUUAUUGUCUGAAGACAUUUAACCGUUCAUCCAAACUUCUGAAGCUUCAGCGAGUCCAUACCAGAGAGAGGCCGUCCACCUGCUUUAUUUGUAGGAAGGAUUCACUCAGUCUUCUAACCUCCUGACUCACCAGCAGGUUCACACUGGUGAGAAGCCAUUCACUUGUUCAAUUGUGGGAAGGGAUUCUCUCAAUACUUCCACCUGCUGACCCACCAGCAAGUUCACACCAAUAAGAGACCUUUCAAAUGCUCUGGCUAUGUGAAGAUCUUUGCACAGUUAUCGAACUUGUACCAGCAAGUACACACUGGGGAGAGACCAUUCACUUGCUCUGUAUGUGGGAAAGGAUUCACUCAGUCAUCCAAACUGCUAAAACACCAGCAAAUUCACAAGUGAUUGCAGGGAUGGACCUUGCUUUUGUCACUGCUGGUAUUCACAUCCACAACUGAACCACAUUCUGACAGUUGGAUUUUGUUUCUGCUGAAGGAACUAAACUCCAGCCUGGUCACAUUGCUGAAUUAAUAAAUAAAUCUGCUUAAUCAAAUAUAUUUGACUGUAUAUAGCUCAAUGGCUCACAGUUGGAUAUUCAAAGGAGACUGUCAGCAAUGUAAAUGUCUUCCAGCAUACAAAAUAAAGAC